AACCGACACAGGUGGUCAGGUAGAGAAUACCAAGGCGCUUGAGAGAACUCGGGUGAAGGAACUAGGCAAAAUGGUGCCGUAACUUCGGGAGAAGGCACGCUGACACGUAGGUGAAGUGAUUUACUCAUGGAGCUGAAGUCAGUCGAAGAUACCAGCUGGCUGCAACUGUUUAUUAAAAACACAGCACUGUGCAAACACGAAAGUGGACGUAUACGGUGUGACGCCUGCCNGGU
rnacentral:rRNA from 1 species